UCCGUAGGUGAACCUGCGGAAGGAUCAUUAUCGUAACAAAAUGUGAGGGGCAUGUGAGGGCUGUCGCUGACUCAAUGUCGUGCACGCCCGAGCGUGUCCUCUCACAUAAUAAUCCAUCUCACCCUUUGUGCAUCGCCGCGUGGGCACCCUUUGGGAUCAUCUCGGAGGGGGCUCGCGUUUUCACACAAACCCCCCUUUUAAAAGUGUAGAAUGACCUCAUUUAUGCGCUAACCCGCAAUCAAUACAACUUUCAACAACGGAUCUCUUGGCUCUCGCAUCGAUGAAGAACGCAGCGAAAUGCGAUACGUAAUGUGAAUUGCAGAAUUCAGUGAAUCAUCGAAUCUUUGAACGCACCUUGCGCCCCUUGGUAUUCCGAGGGGCACACCCGUUUGAGUGUCGUGAAAACCUCAACCUCCUUGGUUUCUUCUGGAGACCAAAGCAGGCUUGGACUUUGGAGGCCUUUGCUGGCACCUCUCUCUUUUGAAGGUCAGCUCCUCUUAAAUGAAUUAGCAGGGUCCUCUUUGCUGAUCCUCGACGUGUGAUAAGAUGUUUCCAUGUCUUGGUUUCUGGCUCUGUCACUCUUGGGACCCGCUUCUAACCGUCUUGACCUUGCGUCGAGACAAUGUUCGAGCAUGUCUCCCAUCUCGGGAAGCUCCCUCGACCCCACGAACCCUUGACCUCAAAUCGGGUGAGACUACCCGCUGAACUUAAGCAUAUCAAUAAGCGGAGGAAAAGAAACCAACC
rnacentral:rRNA from 1 species